AAUGAAUACAGUUUUACGUUGUUUGUGCCAUAUGUUUGAUCGUCCAUUUUAUUUAAAAAAAAUAUGAUUAGUAUUUUUUAUUGUUAUUAGAUGAUAAAAUAUGAAUAUUACUUUAUAUGUGACUAUUUUUUAAUUUUUUUUAUAAAUAUUUCAAAUAAGACGGAUGGUUAAAUAUUGAACACAGAAAUCCACGACUAGACUUAAA
rnacentral:pre_miRNA from 1 species